GAUCCCGUUUUUCUCCUCUCUGCCUCCCAGGUUGAUCCUGCCUGAAUACCUGAAACUCUGGAGAGUUUCUCUGCCGGUGAUCUGUCUGCUCGUUCUCAGUAGGACUCUGGAGAGCAGCCUCAGUCAAGUAUCUGCCUGCCCGCUCUCAGAAGAUUACUGGAAGGAAAACUCAAUCUGUGAUCUGCCUGCACUCAGUAAGCUCUGCCUCCGCCUCUGCCCUCAGCCUGCCGACAACCUCUGGACCCUCAAGGUUCCCCCCCUCUGCAGCUCUGCUCCAUUUCCAAACAGCAGUGAACCCACUCGUGACCAGUCAAGCCCCCUCUUGGAUCUGAACAUACUUUGUACAUUUAUUAUUAAUAAAUCUUUGAACUUUUUCA